UUUUACCUGCGGGGGGCAGCAGUGGGGGAUAUUGCACAAUGGGGGAAACCCUGAUGCAGCGACGCCGCGUGGGUGAAGAAGCGCCUCGGCGCGUAAAGCCCUGUCAGCAGGGAAGAAAAUGACGGUACCUGAAAAAGAAGCCCCGGCUAACUACGUGCCAGCAGCCGCGGUAAUACGUAGGGGGCAAGCGUUAUCCGGAUUUACUGGGUGUAAAGGGAGCGUAGACGGAAAGGCAAGUCAGAAGUGAAAGCCCAAGGCUCAACCAUGGGACUGCUUUUGAAACUGUCAAACUAGAGUACGGGAGA
rnacentral:rRNA from 1 species